UACGGAGGGUGCAAGCGUUAAUCGGAAUUACUGGGCGUAAAGCGCACGCAGGUGGCUGAGUCAGUCGAUUGUGAAAGCCCUGGGCUUAACCUGGGAAUUGCAGUCGAUACUACUCAGCUAGAGUAUGGGAGAGGGUAGUGGAAUUCCCGGUGUAGCGGUGAAAUGCGUAGAUAUCGGGAGGAACAUCAGUGGCGAAGGCGGCUACCCGGCCCAAUACUGACACUCAGGUGCGACAGCGUGGGGAGCAAACAGG
rnacentral:rRNA from 1 species